rnacentral:rRNA from 1 species
UACGAAGGGGGCUAGCGUUGCUCGGAAUCACUGGGCGUAAAGGGUGCGUAGGCGGGUCUUUAAGUCAGGGGUGAAAUCCUGGAGCUCAACUCCAGAACUGCCUUUGAUACUGAAGAUCUUGAGUCCGGGAGAGGUGAGUGGAACUGCGAGUGUAGAGGUGAAAUUCGUAGAUAUUCGCAAGAACACCAGUGGCGAAGGCGGCUCUCUGGACCGAGACUGACGCUGAGGCGCGAAAGCGUGGGGAGCAAACAGG